rnacentral:snRNA from 1 species
AUCAUUUCUUGGCCUUUUGGCUAAGAUCAAACGUAGUAUCUGUUCUUACCAGUAUAAUGAAGCUACAGCCCAGUGCCUUAUCAAAAUAGUAAUUCAGUGCCUUCCAAACAAUU